UUCACAGUGUGGUGGUUGUCUCUUACUUUUCUGGUGAACAUUUCACAUGACAGAAAAGAAUAAUUACCUGACAAUACUGUAACAAAUCUUUGCACCUCUCUGUUUAUCUUGCCUAGGCACACACCUUAACAAAAUUUCUUUGGGUUGAGGUUGCUUUUUGGUACCUUUGCAGGGUGAUGCGUCCUCAGCCACUCUUCUGUGUUUUCCUGGUUCUGGGUUUAACAACUGUCUGGGGAUGACGCAAGAUGCUCACAGUGGCCCUGUCUCUUGGAGUGUCUGUCCCAGCUUCCUUUCCUGGCAGAUACGUUGGUGCUGGUACUAAGGAGAAACGGCACACGUGCAUCUUGUCCUCUGGGUUCUCUCAGGCUUGUGAAGGGAGAAUAACUAUCCCAAAGUGCAAGAAAAACCCACUUUAAUGAGGUAGUGUAUGAACUUGCAAAGGAAAAUACACAUCAGGCACAUAGGAGGCAAGUGCAGUGCCUUCUGAGAGGGUGGUGAUCAAGUACCUUAGCAGGAUGGGGGUUGGAGAAUCUCUCAAGUGAUUGACACAUGAGUCCAAUAUGUUUGUGUUCCACUCAGCACCACCUCUCCCUGCGUUUGUCAUCUUGAAUAUAUUUGUUCACUUAUUUCGUUUUUAUUAACUGUAUAAUGUAUUUUGUCAUUAGAGCUUGAAAGAUAAAAAACCACAAAUGUUUCUAAGAGGAAAGAAAGUGAUAGAUUUCAGAGAAAACAUCUUGUUUUAUAUUCCAUUGGUUAAAAGUUUUCAUUUACCUUUUUUAUUUUGCAGAGUGAAUGUAGGAAGAUUCUGAGGUCUGUUCUAUUUUAGCAUGAUUUCAAACUGAAUCUCAGAGCUUAGCUUUGGGAAUUCUACCUUAGGAAAAAAACAGAAGAAAUGUUUCUCAUUAUAGCUACAGAAAAAUAAAUACAUUUCUACAAAAAAGUAGGUUAACACACAAAUUACAAACAUUUAUAAAAACAUCAGUUCCUCUUGUGCAGAGUGGAGAAUUUUUGAGAGUGGGUACCUCAGUUCUGUUAUCUGAAUUUCAGCUUAAUAUUAAAUUUUAUGGAAUGAAACUUGCAACUACUACAAGUGUUCAUACAUUAUUGUUUACUAUAUGAUUUGUUAUAAAAAUGAUAAUUAAAUGACUCAUUUACUGCCUGGAAAAGAUAGAUACUUUUAUUUUUUUGUUGAGGUAUAAAAUAAAAAUGCAAAAAUUUUCUGACUAUAGCAUAAA